rnacentral:rRNA from 1 species
CCUACGGGAGGCAGCAGUGGGGGAUAUUGCACAAUGGGGGGAACCCUGAUGCAGCGACGCCGCGUGGGUGAAGGAGCGUUUCGGCGCGUAAAGCCCUAUCGGCAGGGAAGAAGGAGGACGGUACCUGACUAAGAAGCCCCGGCUAACUACGUGCCAGCAGCCGCGGUAAUACGGAGGGGGCAAGCGUUAUGCGGAUUUACUGGGUGGAAAGGGGGCGCAGACGGCAGCGCAAGCCAGGAGUGAAAGCCCGGGGCCCAACCCCGGGACUGCUCUUGGAACUGGGCGGCUGGAGUGCAGGAGGGGCAGGCGGAAUUCCAGGUGUAGCGGUGAAAUGCGUAGAUAUCAGGAGGAACACCAGUGGCGAAGGCGGCCUGCUGGGCUUUUACUGACGCUGAGGCUCGAAAGUGUGGGGAGCAAACAGGAUUAGAUACCCUAGUAGUC